UACGAAGGGGGCUAGCGUUGCUCGGAAUCACUGGGCGUAAAGGGCGCGUAGGCGGGUUUUUAAGUCAGGGGUGAAAUCCUGGAGCUCAACUCCAGAACUGCCUUUGAUACUGAAAGUCUUGAGUAUGGGAGAGGUGAGUGAAACUGCGAGUGUAGAGGUGAAAUUCGUAGAUAUUCGCAAGAACACCAGUGGCGAAGGCGGCUCACUGGCCCAUUACUGACGCUGAGGCACGAAAGCGUGGGGAGCAAACAGG
rnacentral:rRNA from 1 species